GCCCUCAUCUGAGGUGACGGGAAAGGGCCGGGAAAUUUCCACUUCUGAAUAAAAUGACUGCUGAAGUGAUGACCCGCAAGAAUUGGUCAAAUUUGGAGUAGACUUCACCCUGCGCUUGGUGAAACUUCUACGUCAAGGAUGCAAGAGGCGCCGAAGUAACGCAGCUCCCACCUGUCGCUCUCCGCUGGGCGCCGAGACUAUGGCCGGAGAAUAGCUGCACCGGGAUUGGAGAAAGGAAGCCAUCAGUCUUAGGAAGGCUCCACCUUCCUGCCAUUGCCUGGUUGGAGGAGCGUAGCGUCAGUCACUAGAGCAGUCACCACCUCUGGGACAGGAUUCCCAACCAGGGAGAGCCACAGCG
rnacentral:lncRNA from 1 species